AGCACCGAAGCCUGUGGUCGUUUGGCCUCUAGGCAAUGUGGUGUUCAGGUCAGCUCGCGGAGGUACUGCUCCACCCUAAGUCCUAUAAUGAGUAAGGUUACUCGGACGUGGCCCACAGAGGGUGAAAGGCCCGUGGGGGUGGAGACUCAGAUUGGCCAGUAUCUCCCUGAGUGGACCUUGGAGUCGGGUUGUUUGUGAAUGCAGCCCAAAGUGGGUGGUAAACUCCAUCCAAGGCUAAAUACUAGCACGAGUCCGAUAGCGAACAAGUACCGUGAGGGAAAGUUGAAAAGUACUUUGAAGAGAGAGUAAACAGUGCGUGAAACCGCUCAGAGGUAAACGGGUGGAGUUGAACUGCAAGCUCUGAGAAUUCAACUGGUGAGUAUGGCAUGAGCUGGGUAUAUUGGUUGACGGUCCGGGUCUGCUUAGCUGCAGGUCCUCGCCUUUUGGUGGGGAUGCGCGAAUCACUUACCAAGUGUUGUGCGCCCGGAUUGUAUCGGACCUGCUUGCCAGUGCACUUUCUCAGAGUAAUCACCACGACCGGCGUUGCCGUCUGGCUGUUGUAGUUAAACCGGCCUUGUAGAGUCCUUGUGGCUUUGCUUGGUCGGGAUGGCAGGUAGCCCGUUGUGCACUUUUGUGUGCUUCGGGUGUUAUCGCUGACUGCAUCAGUUCUGUGCGGUACGUCGGAGACGGCGGCUUGUUGUGUGUGCGUGCGUACUUGUUAUGCUGGCGGGGCCGAGUCUGGUUGCCGUGUUGAUUGCAAAAGCAAUCCCGGUGAUGGCUUGGUGUCGUUCGGUGUGCAGUUGCGUGCGUGUCACUAUGCAGGGCCAAUAGUCUGUGGUGUAGUGGUAGACUAUCCACCUGACCCGUCUUGAAACACGGACCAAGGAGAGUAACAUGUGCGCGAGUCAUUGGGCGUUACGAAACCCAAAGGCGCAGUGAAAGUAAAGGUUCGGCUUGUCCGGACUGAGGUGAGAUCCUGCCGUUUCUCACGCGCGGUACUACCAAGCAUCGAGCGGCAGGCGCAUCACCGGCCCGUCCCAUGGCGUAGAGGCGACCUUGUG
rnacentral:rRNA from 1 species